rnacentral:rRNA from 1 species
UACGGGGGGGCAAGCGUUGUUCGGAAUUACUGGGCGUAAAGGGCUCGUAGGUGGCCAACUAAGUCAGACGUGAAAUCCCUCAGCUUAACUGGGGAACUGCGUCUGAUACUGGAUGGCUUGAGUUUGGGAGAGGGAUGCGGAAUUCCAGGUGUAGCGGUGAAAUGCGUAGAUAUGCGGAGGAACACCGAUGGCGAAGGCAAUCCCCUGGACCUGUACUGACGCUCAUGCAC